AUCUGGAGGAGAGGAGGGGUAUCUGGUGGAUGUGGAGGAGAGGAGGUAUCUGGUGGAUGUGGAGGAGAGGAGGUAUCUGGUGGAUGUGGAGGAGAGGAGAGGUAUCUGGUGGAUGUGGAGGAGAGGAGGUAUCUGGUAGAUGUGGAGGAGAGGAGGUAUCUGGUGGAUGUGGAGGAGAGGAGAGGUAUCUGGUGGAUGUGGAGGAGAGGACGUAUCUGGUGGAUGUCGAGGAGAGGAGAGGUAUCUGGUGGAUGUGGAGGAGAGGAGAGGUAUCUGGUGGAUGUGGAGGUGAGGUGGAGGAGAGGAGGUAUCUGGUGGAUGUGGAGGAGAGGUAUCUGGUGGAUGUGGAGGGGAGGACAGGUAUCUGGUAGAUGUGAAGGAGAGGAGAGGUAUCUGGUGGAUGUGGAGGAGAGGAGGUAUCUGGUGGAUGUGGAGGAGAGGAGGUAUCUGGUAGAUGUGAAGGAGAGGAGAGGUAUCUGGUGGAUGUGGAGGGGAGGUGAGGUAUCUGGUGGAUGUGAAGGAGAGGAGAGGUAUCUGGUGGAUGUGGAGGAGAGGAGAGGUAUCUGGUGGAUGUGGAGGAGAGGAGAGGUAUCUGGUGGAUGUGGAGGAGAGGAGAGGUAUCUGGUGGAUGUGGAGGAGAGGAGAGGUAUCUGGUGGAUGUGGAGGAGAGGAGAGGUAUCUGGUGGAUGUGGAGGAGAGGAGAGGUAUCUGGUGGAUGUGGAGGAGAGGAGAGGAGAGGUAUCUGGUGGAUGUGGAGGAGAGGAGAGGUAUCUGGUGGAUGUGGAGGAGAGGAGAGGUAUCUGGUGGAUGUGGAGGAGAGGAGAGGUAUCUGGUGGAUGUGGAGGAGAGGUGAGGUAUCUGGUGGAUGUGGAGGAGAGGAGGUAUCUGGUGGAUGUGAAGGAGAGGAGAGGUAUCUGGUGGAUGUGAAGGAGAGGAGAGGUAUCUGGUGGAUGUGAAGGAGAGGUGAGGUAUCUGGUGGAUGUGAAGGAGAGGUGAGGUAUCUGGUGGAUGUGAAGGAGAGGUGAGGUAUCUGGUGGAUGUGAAGGAGAGGUGAGGUAUCUGGUGGAUGUGGAGGAGAGGUAUCUGGUGGAUGUGGAGGAGAGGAGAGGUAUCUGGUGGAUGUGGAGGAGAGGAGAGGUAUCUGGUGGAUGUGGAGGAGAGGAGAGGUAUCUGGUGGAUGUGGAGGAGAGGAGAGGUAUCUGGUGGAUGUGAAGGAGAGGUGAGGUAUCUGGUGGAUGUGGAGGAGAGGUAUCUGGUGGAUGUGAAGGAGAGGUAUCUGGUGGAUGUGAAGGAGAGGUGAGGUAUCUGGUGGAUGUGGAGGAGAGGUAUCUGGUGGAUGUGGAGGUGAGGUGGAGGAGAGGAGGUAUCUGGUGGAUGUGGAGGAGAGGAGAGGUAUCUGGUGGAUGUGGAGGAGAGGAGAGGUAUCUGGUGGAUGUGGAGGAGAGGAGAGGUAUCUGGUGGAUGUGGAGGAGAGGAGAGGUAUCUGGUGGAUGUGAAGGAGAGGAGAGGUAUCUGGUGGAUGUGAAGGAGAGGAGAGGUAUCUGGUGGAUGUGAAGGAGAGGUGAGGUAUCUGGUGGAUGUGAAGGAGAGGUGAGGUAUCUGGUGGAUGUGAAGGAGAGGUGAGGUAUCUGGUGGAUGUGAAGGAGAGGUGAGGUAUCUGGUGGAUGUGAAGGAGAGGUGAGGUAUCUGGUGGAUGUGAAGGAGAGGUAUCUGGUGGAUGUGGAGGUGAGGUGGAGGAGAGGAGGUAUCUGGUGGAUGUGGAGGAGAGGAGAGGUAUCUGGUGGAUGUGAAGGAGAGGAGAGGUAUCUGGUGGAUGUGAAGGAGAGGAGAGGUUAAUAACAAAUUAUUUACAACGAGGACCAAACCCGGACGAUGCUGGGCCAAUUGUGCGCCGCCCUAUGGGACUCCCAAUCACAGCCGGAUGUGAUACAGCCUGGAUUCGAAGGGACUACAGGGACUGUAGUGACGCCUCUUGUACUGAGAUUAGGCUGGACAAUAGAACAAGUCAAAAUUCACCCAAGGCUGGAAAUGGCAAAAGAACGUUGGCUAAGCUGGAAAAUUUGCGAAUUAAUGGAAUGGCAUGUUCGCAGAGGCUGUUUUGACUGAAGUGAUGCUUAGAAUUCCAUUUCGCCUAAAUGGCAUUAAAAAAUGUAUCCCUUUUUAUUUUACCACUAAAAUCUGUUCUUAGGACGAAACUGAAAAAGAACAACUUGUGUAGAAAGUUAACAUCCGCAACUCGGUGGUGCCAAGUGUGCUUAUGUCUGCAUAACGAGGAAGUAGGAAAACAUGGCAACUUCCAUUUCAGGUCUAGCAUUUGAUGACAAUGAGAUACACUGCCCAGCCUUACAUAAUUCGAGAGAGGAGAUUCUCAUGAUUAAUAGGGUGUCCGAAUGGAACAUUUUUGAAAUAUACACAUUGCGAGAUAUUUGGCGAAAUAUACCCGAAUGCUUCUCCAUAGGAAAACAAUGGGGGGAGCUUGGCGUUUCAAGGGCAAAAGGUAUUUCGGGGAUAGCGUUUAAUGACUACGAGAUACACUGCCCAGCCUUACAUAAUUAGAAAGAAGAGAUUCUCAUGAUUUAAAAUGGUGUCCAGAUAAUAAAUAAAAAAAAUCUAAAUAUACACAUAGCGAGAUAAUUGGCAAAAUAGACAGGCAUACCUAUAUUUCCCUAUAGUAAACAAUGGGACGACGGCAGGUCUCCAUUGCCAACAAUAGUAAAGCAGGCAUUGUGACAUAAGUACAAUAAACUGGGAUUAGAACGUUUGGAAUGUGUGUUGGUGCCACAGUGUUCAAUAGAACUAAUAGGAGCUGGCAGGGUGAAAAAUGCCCUAAAAUAAGGCCUGUUUUUUUGUGAUCACUUCAAUACUAUGGCAGGCAGCUGGGAUAUAUGGUAAUAUUAUGAAACUGGGCUCCACCGCGGAUGCAAUGAACUAGUUUUUAUUAGAAAAAAGCAUUGUUAAAAAUGUCAUGUGUCCAGCCUACUGAGAUGUAGUGCCUUAGACUGCUGCGCCACUCGGGAGACACUCCGAUAUGAAUGAUAUUAAUGUUGUGAAAUAUGACCUAUAAAACAGCAGGAAGUGAUC